rnacentral:rRNA from 1 species
GACCUCGGAUGCAGGUAGGGAUACCCGCUGAACUUAAGCAUAUCAUA